rnacentral:rRNA from 1 species
UACGGAGGGAGCUAGCGUUGUUCGGAAUUACUGGGCGUAAAGCGCACGUAGGCGGCUUUGUAAGUUAGAGGUGAAAGCCCGGGGCUCAACCCCGGAAUUGCCUUUAAGACUGCAUCGCUUGAAUCCAGGAGAGGUGAGUGGAAUUCCGAGUGUAGAGGUGAAAUUCGUAGAUAUUGGGAAGAACACCGGUGGCGAAGGCGGCUCACUGGCUCAUUACUGACGCUCAGGCGCGAUAGCGUGGGGAUCAAACAGG